rnacentral:rRNA from 1 species
CUACGUGCCAGCAGCCGCGGUAAUACGUAGGUCCCGAGCGUUGUCCGGAUUUAUUGGGCGUAAAGCGAGCGCAGGCGGUUAGAUAAGUCUGAAGUUAAAGGCUGUGGCUUAACCAUAGUACGCUUUGGAAACUGUUUAACUUGAGUGCAAGAGGGGAGAGUGGAAUUCCAUGUGUAGCGGUGAAAUGCGUAGAUAUAUGGAGGAACACCGGUGGCGAAAGCGGCUCUCUGGCUUGUAACUGACGCUGAGGCKCGAAAGCCAGGGGAGCGAACGGGAUUAGAUACCCCGGUAGUCCUGGCCGUAAACGAUGGGUACUAGGUGUAGGAGGUAUCGACCCCUUCUGUGCCGGAGUUAACGCAAUAAGUACCCCGCCUGGGGAGUACGACCGCAAGGUUGAAACUCAAAGGAAUUGACGGGGGCCCGCACAAGCGGUGGAGUAUGUGGUUUAAUUCGACGCAACGCGAAGAACCCUACCAGGUCUUGACAU